GGGUUGUGAGGUUAAGCGACUAAGCGUACACGGUGGAUGCCCUGGCAGUCAGAGGCGAUGAAGGACGUGCUAAUCUGCGAUAAGCGUCGGUAAGGUGAUAUGAACCGUUAUAACCGGCGAUUUCCGAAUGGGGAAACCCAGUGUGAUUCGUCACACUAUCAUUAACUGAAUCCAUAGGUUAAUGAGGCGAACCGGGGGAACUGAAACAUCUAAGUACCCCGAGGAAAAGAAAUCAACUGAGAUUCCCCCAGUAGCGGCGAGCGAACGGGGAGGAGCCCAGAGCCUGAAUCAGUGUGUGUGUUAGUGGAAGCGUCUGGAAAGGCGCGCGAUACAGGGUGACAGCCCCGUACACAAAAAUGCACAUGCUGUGAGCUCGAUGAGUAGGGCGGGACACGUGGUAUCCUGUCUGAAUAUGGGGGGACCAUCCUCCAAGGCUAAAUACUCCUGACUGACCGAUAGUGAACCAGUACCGUGAGGGAAAGGCGAAAAGAACCCCGGCGAGGGGAGUGAAAAAGAACCUGAAACCGUGUACGUACAAGCAGUGGGAGCACAGAGCAGUCUGUGUGACUGCGUACCUUUUGUAUAAUGGGUCAGCGACUUAUAUUCUGUAGCAAGGUUAACCGAAUAGGGGAGCCGAAGGGAAACCGAGUCUUAACUGGGCGUUAAGUUGCAGGGUAUAGACCCGAAACCCGGUGAUCUAGCCAUGGGCAGGUUGAAGGUUGGGUAACACUAACUGGAGGACCGAACCGACUAAUGUUGAAAAAUUAGCGGAUGACUUGUGGCUGGGGGUGAAAGGCCAAUCAAACCGGGAGAUAGCUGGUUCUCCCCGAAAGCUAUUUAGGUAGCGCCUCGUGAAUUCAUCUCCGGGGGUAGAGCACUGUUUCGGCAAGGGGGUCAUCCCGACUUACCAACCCGAUGCAAACUGCGAAUACCGGAGAAUGUUAUCACGGGAGACACACGGCGGGUGCUAACGUCCGUCGUGAAGAGGGAAACAACCCAGACCGCCAGCUAAGGUCCCAAAGUCAUGGUUAAGUGGGAAACGAUGUGGGAAGGCCCAGACAGCCAGGAUGUUGGCUUAGAAGCAGCCAUCAUUUAAAGAAAGCGUAAUAGCUCACUGGUCGAGUCGGCCUGCGCGGAAGAUGUAACGGGGCUAAACCAUGCACCGAAGCUGCGGCAGCGACGCUUAUGCGUUGUUGGGUAGGGGAGCGUUCUGUAAGCCUGUGAAGGUGUACUGUGAGGUAUGCUGGAGGUAUCAGAAGUGCGAAUGCUGACAUAAGUAACGAUAAAGCGGGUGAAAAGCCCGCUCGCCGGAAGACCAAGGGUUCCUGUCCAACGUUAAUCGGGGCAGGGUGAGUCGACCCCUAAGGCGAGGCCGAAAGGCGUAGUCGAUGGGAAACAGGUUAAUAUUCCUGUACUUGGUGUUACUGCGAAGGGGGGACGGAGAAGGCUAUGUUGGCCGGGCGACGGUUGUCCCGGUUUAAGCGUGUAGGCUGGUUUUCCAGGCAAAUCCGGAAAAUCAAGGCUGAGGCGUGAUGACGAGGCACUACGGUGCUGAAGCAACAAAUGCCCUGCUUCCAGGAAAAGCCUCUAAGCAUCAGGUAACAUCAAAUCGUACCCCAAACCGACACAGGUGGUCAGGUAGAGAAUACCAAGGCGCUUGAGAGAACUCGGGUGAAGGAACUAGGCAAAAUGGUGCCGUAACUUCGGGAGAAGGCACGCUGAUAUGUAGGUGAAGUCCCUCGCGGAUGGAGCUGAAAUCAGUCGAAGAUACCAGCUGGCUGCAACUGUUUAUUAAAAACACAGCACUGUGCAAACACGAAAGUGGACGUAUACGGUGUGACGCCUGCCCGGUGCCGGAAGGUUAAUUGAUGGGGUCAGCGCAAGCGAAGCUCUUGAUCGAAGCCCCGGUAAACGGCGGCCGUAACUAUAACGGUCCUAAGGUAGCGAAAUUCCUUGUCGGGUAAGUUCCGACCUGCACGAAUGGCGUAAUGAUGGCCAGGCUGUCUCCACCCGAGACUCAGUGAAAUUGAACUCGCUGUGAAGAUGCAGUGUACCCGCGGCAAGACGGAAAGACCCCGUGAACCUUUACUAUAGCUUGACACUGAACAUUGAGCCUUGAUGUGUAGGAUAGGUGGGAGGCUUGGAAGUGUGGACGCCAGUCUGCAUGGAGCCGACCUUGAAAUACCACCCUUUAAUGUUUGAUGUUCUAACGUUGACCCGUAAUCCGGGUUGCGGACAGUGUCUGGUGGGUAGUUUGACUGGGGCGGUCUCCUCCUAAAGAGUAACGGAGGAGCACGAAGGUUGGCUAAUCCUGGUCGGACAUCAGGAGGUUAGUGCAAUGGCAUAAGCCAGCUUGACUGCGAGCGUGACGGCGCGAGCAGGUGCGAAAGCAGGUCAUAGUGAUCCGGUGGUUCUGAAUGGAAGGGCCAUCGCUCAACGGAUAAAAGGUACUCCGGGGAUAACAGGCUGAUACCGCCCAAGAGUUCAUAUCGACGGCGGUGUUUGGCACCUCGAUGUCGGCUCAUCACAUCCUGGGGCUGAAGUAGGUCCCAAGGGUAUGGCUGUUCGCCAUUUAAAGUGGUACGCGAGCUGGGUUUAGAACGUCGUGAGACAGUUCGGUCCCUAUCUGCCGUGGGCGCUGGAGAACUGAGGGGGGCUGCUCCUAGUACGAGAGGACCGGAGUGGACGCAUCACUGGUGUUCGGGUUGUCAUGCCAAUGGCACUGCCCGGUAGCUAAAUGCGGAAGAGAUAAGUGCUGAAAGCAUCUAAGCACGAAACUUGCCCCGAGAUGAGUUCUCCCUGACUCCUUGAGAGUCCUGAAGGAACGUUGAAGACGACGACGUUGAUAGGCCGGGUGUGUAAGCGCAGCGAUGCGUUGAGCUAACCGGUACUAAUGAACCGUGAGGCUUAACCUUACAACGCCGAAGGUGUUU
rnacentral:rRNA from 1 species